GACGAACGCUGGCGGCGUGCUUAACACAUGCGAGUCGAACGGUGAUGCUCCAGCUUGCUGGAGUGGAUCAGUGGCGAACGGGGGAGUAACACGUGAGCAACCUGCCCCAGACUCUGGAAUAAGCGCUGGAAACGGCGUCUAAUACUGGAUACGAAACUGGCCCGCAUGGGCAUGGUUUGGAAAGUUUUUCGGUUUGGGAUGGGCUCGCGGCCUAUCAGCUUGUUGGUGAGGUAAUGGCUCACCAAGGCGACGACGGGUAGCCGGCCUGAGAGGGCGACCGGCCACACUGGGACUGAGACACGGCCCAGACUCCUACGGGAGGCAGCAGUGGGGAAUAUUGCCCAAUGGGCGAAAGCCUGAUGCAGCGACGCCGCGUGAGGGAUGACGGCCUUCGGGUUGUAAACCUCUUUCAGCAGGGAAGAAGCGAAAGUGACGGUACCUGCAGAAGAAGCACCGGCUAACUACGUG
rnacentral:rRNA from 1 species